UGGGGAAUAUUGCACAAUGGGCGCAAGCCUGAUGCAGCCAUGCCGCGUGUAUGAAGAAGGCCUUCGGGUUGUAAAGUACUUUCAGCGGGGAGGAAGGUGUUGUGGUUAAUAACCGCAGCAAUUGACGUUACCCGCAGAAGAAGCACCGGCUAACUCCGUGCCAGCAGCCGCGGUAAUACGGAGGGUGCAAGCGUUAAUCGGAAUUACUGGGCGUAAAGCGCACGCAGGCGGUCUGUCAAGUCGGAUGUGAAAUCCCCGGGCUCAACCUGGGAACUGCAUUCGAAACUGGCAGGCUAGAGUCUUGUAGAGGGGGGUAGAAUUCCAGGUGUAGCGGUGAAAUGCGUAGAGAUCUGGAGGAAUACCGGUGGCGAAGGUGGCCCCCUGGACAAAGACUGACGCUCAGGUGCGAAAGCGUGGGGAGCAAACA
rnacentral:rRNA from 1 species